AGACACUUGCGAUGAAAUUAAUCAAAUUAAAUCAUGAAAUUAAUUUUCAUUCAAAUUGAAUAUUGCUACCCAUGUGCUUCCAUAGACUGAAGGCUUUCCUGACUGUAAGCUAUUUAAGACGCAGACAAAGAACACACUGACACACACUCGCAAACACACACACAAACACAUAUAGAGCACAGCACAGUUCUAUGCAAAGUGGGGAAUGACAGAAAAAGUUUGAGAACCACUGAUGUGGAGUGACACUGGGUUAGCUCUGUUAUUUUGACAUGGGUUAAGAUGAGUUGCUGCUGAUAGAAAUGUGUGGCAAUUAUUACUCAGCUCACUGACAUUAGUUUAUAUAAUUGUGAUAAACUUGACUUACUGUUCACUCCAAUAAUUUGGUUUUUCUCUAUUUUCUAGUGACGCCGCAGGAUAAUAAUGACGGCCUGUGUGCUUUGCAGCCUUUUCCAGGGAUCCUUUAGAGGACUAACAAUGGUGCUGUGUUAAGAAAUCCUACCCAACAAAAUUCCACUGAGGCAGAUGUAGAGAUGACUGCGAGAAACUGGCUGCGGCUGAGGAGGGACAGGAAGCAAGAGGGCGAGCAUCUUAAAGUGAAAUAAUUGAUUGGACUGAUUUUUCCUGUUUACCUAUUUUGGAGGGAAUUUCUUUUUGUUGUUGUUGUACUUUUCUAUGUGUGAUUUGAUGAGUGUUAAAAUAAAUGAUACUGCUUUUGCAAAAACAAAAGUAAAAAAUAAAUGUUCAAGGUCA